UUACGGCCAUGUCACGUUGAACAGAUCGGUUCUUGUCCAAUCACCGAAGUUAGGCAACGUCGAGCCUGGUCAGUACUUAGAUGGGUGACCGCUUGGGAAUACCAGGUGCUGUAA